AUUGAACGCUGGCGGCAUGCCUUACACAUGCAAGUCGAACGGCAGCACGGGUUCUGGCACCUGGGGGCGAGUGGCGCACGGGUGUGUAACACAUCGGCACAUGUCGUAGAGUGGGGGAUAGCCCGGCGAAAGCCGGAUUAAUACCGCAUACGAUCUGCGGAAGAAAGCGGGGGAUUUUCGCCCCUCGCGCUUUGGGGUUUGGCGAUGGCAGAUUAGCUAGUUGGUGGGGUAAAGGCCUACCAAGGCGACGAUCGGUAGCUGGUCUGAGAGGACGACCAGCCACACUGGGACUGAGACACGGCCCAGACUCCUACGGGAGGCAGCAGUGGGGAAUUUUGGACAAUGGGCGAAAGCCUGAUCCAGCAAUGCCGCGUGUGUGAAGAAGGCCUUCGGGUUGUAAAGCACUUUUGUCCGGAAAGAAAACCUUGGCCCUAAUACGGUCGGGGGAUGACGGUACCGGAAGAAUAAGCACCGGCUAACUACGUG
rnacentral:rRNA from 1 species